rnacentral:lncRNA from 1 species
UAAAACACCACAAUGAUGAUUCAAUUUUUGAUGUUACUUUGACUUCAUCCUCAAAUUCUCUUUACCAGUCUCUGUGUUUUUCUUGAUGAAAUCACAGAUCGAUCACCUAUGCCGCACCAGACUUGCAGAUCUUUAACCAGGCAAAAGCUGCAGGAAGCGAGGUCUUCAAGGUGAUCGAAAGAAAGCCAAGGAUAAGUUACGAGACAAAAGGAGAAAAGCUAGAGAAGAUUGUUGGAGGAAUCGAGAUUAAUGGGGUGUCAUUUGCUUACCCAUCUCGUCAGGAUAAGCUUGUUCUGCAAGGCUUCUCAUUGUCCAUACCAGCAGGCAAAGUGUUUGCGUUGGUAGGUAGCAGUGGCUGUGGGAAGAGCACUCUCCUCUCCCUUGUCCAAAGGUUCUACGAUCCAAUUUCAG